CUACGAGGGUUUAUUAAUCCAUUGCAGCCGAGCCGUCUCGCAACUCUCUCGGUCAAAGAACCAUAGGAUUUCCAGUGAGGAUUUAUUUAGAUUUCAGAUACGACGUGAAGAGAUUUAUAAUGGCUGUCGCAGAAAUUGCAUACUUUCCACGAAGAUUGAGUCAAACCGAAACAAGAACCAUAGCUGCUGCUUAAUUGUCCCAAGAAACUGGCUUACUGCAGGUUUAACCAAUCCGGAUACGGACUUCUCGGAAUCUUGCAGUUCAACCGGAGACACGCGUGUCGGAUGACGUUAAAGGAUCUCAAAGGGACGAUUAUAAGACACGCAUUAUGCGAUAAUGCAGUUAAACAUGGGUUCGUUCACAGCUGUAAUUACGCAUUACGUGAUAUAAUAUGAUUCAUUUAUGUGCUUUUGUAUACAAUGUGUACGUCGAUGAAAUGAUUUAACUUUAAAUUACGUUAGCGAUAUUUCUUCCGGCAAAAAAUGAAACAAUCUAUUUAAAUUCAAUUUUUUUUAAUUAAUAUUUUUUAUUGUAAAGAAUGCAAUUAUUAUUGAAAAAACGUAAUUAGAAUUACUGUUAAUUAGAAUAUGUUAACAAGAGGGAAAAAUAUCAUAUGUUUUAAUGUAGAUAAAAAUCACUCCAUUUAAAUUCUCAUACAUUUAUUUACAUUUAGAAUUAAUAACAAUUAUG